GGUGGCUACAGCCGCGGGGAUCCACCUCUUCCCAUUCCGAACAGAGAAGUUAAGCCCGCGAACGCCGAUGGUACUGCGCUGCGCCGUGGGAGAGUAGGUAGCCGCCG
rnacentral:rRNA from 1 species